ACCUUCCACGAGCCUGAGGAGAAGACUUGCAUUGCGUCCGGGUCGUCGCCUCGUGGGCUCCUCCUGGGUGGCUACAUAUUCUUUUCGGACUGAAUUAUUGCCAGCCUGGGGGAAAGCAUCUCUCUCCCUCUAGCAGCGACCUGACUAUAUAGCACGGCAGGCCGGUCGUCGUCUCGCCGGGAGAGAAUAGGCACAGCACAGGAGAGAGAGGGAAGCAGCUGAUCCCAGCCGGAGAACCGUCCAUCCGCCAUGAGCGACGGGCAGGGCAAUGCUCCUCCCGGAGGCUACUUCAUCGGCCGUCCGGCGAACACCGACGAGCCCAAGGAGAAAGAACCGCCGCAGGCCGUCGCUGAACCUGCUCCAGCUGCGCUGCCUACUCCUGGUGAUUACUUCGUCGGCCGUCCGGAGAACCAACGGCAGAACACGGAAACGCCGGCGCCUAAACCGGGCUUCCUUGCCAAAUUCUGUCCAUGCCUCGGCGGUAGUGGAGCUACCAGCUAGACCGACAAGCCCAGCCGCCGUGCGCCGUGCGCGUGACCACGGGAGGAUUUGAAGUGGAAUCGGGUCCAUGAGUCUCAAUUCUGUAUUGGAACUGUGCGAGUUCUCUUCAUCUUUGGAAGCUCUGCUCUGUUUUUCCUUCUUUCACUAGCAUUUGAUUCCUCCAUAUUCAUUCGUGUAACGCCGACAAACGUAAACUCGACGAAAUUGCCAUCCGUCCCUGUGAAAUGAAAAUGGUGUUGAUUUGUUCAA